rnacentral:rRNA from 1 species
UACGUAGGGGGCAAGCGUUGUUCGGAAUUACUGGGCGUAAAGGGCUCGUAGGCGGCCAACUAAGUCAGACGUGAAAUCCCUCGGCUUAACCGGGGAACUGCGUCUGAUACUGGAUGGCUUGAGUUUGGGAGAGGGAUGCGGAAUUCCAGGUGUAGCGGUGAAAUGCGUAGAUAUCUGGAGGAACACCGGUGGCGAAGGCGGCAUCCUGGACCAACACUGACGCUGAGUGAGCGAAAGCCAGGGGAGCAAACGGG